UACGUAGGGGGCAAGCGUUAUCCGGAUUUACUGGGUGUAAAGGGAGCGUAGACGGCUUUGCAAGCCAGAUGUGAAAGCCCUGGGCUCAACCUCGGGACUGCAUUUGGAACUGUAUGGCUGGAGUGUCGGAGAGGCAGGCGGAAUUCCUAGUGUAGCGGUGAAAUGCGUAGAUAUUAGGAGGAACACCAGUGGCGAAGGCGGCCUGCUGGACGAUGACUGACGUUGAGGCUCGAAAGCGUGGGGAGCAAACAGG
rnacentral:rRNA from 1 species